UUGAAUAAUCAGUGCCAACAAGUCUCAUCCAAAAUGAAGUUUCAGGCAUUCCAUUUCUACGCAAUGGUAGUUCUUCUACUUAUUUCUGCCUACCUCGUAGCUGGCAGUCUCAACAAUAAUGAAAAAUUUCGAUCAAUAAUACGUGCCAAAUCAUUCUGCGAGUCACUAAAACCGUUGUUGGCUAAAGUGAAGGACGGUGACCUAAACUUAUUCUAAAUCAAAACCAUUAUCCUAUAAAGUGAAAAAUAGUAAUACCUACCCUUAGUCAAAACGUCUCGGAGCAAAAAUACGUCAAUCUUAGCUCUUAAUAAUGAAAUAGCCAGUACAUUUUACGAUUAUGUGAAAUAAAAAUGUACCAGUAAUUUAUCAGAGAGAA